ACAGUAGUUAUUACCGGCGGAAUGCCUCGCCGGUAAUGGGCAAUGUGGUUUGUGCGGGAAAAUUCCCGCUUUUUUUUACUUUAAAAAUAAUUAGCGGCGGACUUUUACCAGCGGAUCCCGCCGCUAAUAAAACAAUAAUAUUCCUGUUUAGACUAUUACCGGCGGAACCCACUAAUACCGGCGGGUUUCCGCCGGUAAUAAUUUUAUAUAUAAAAAAAAAAAAAUCUUCAAACAUCAUUUCGUGCCUCUUCUUCUUCUCUCCUUCAUCUUUCAUCUUCUCACUCCAUCUCUUUCUCUCUCCCCAUCUCAGCUCCUCUCCAAGAUCCCACCACCAUAUCUCAACUCAUGUAUAAAAAAUAAUUCUCAACUCACAUCUAAAAUUUUGCUGGCGUGGAAGUUCCGUCCAAGCUCUGUCCAAGCUCCCCUGUACCAGCCAAAGCUCCAUUAAAAUUUUUGUUCAGCUUAAGUUAUGAUGGAAGAGAGUAGUGGUUCAAUCGAUGUAAAGAAGAAUAGUGAUUCAAUCGUUGUGAAGAAGAGAAAAUGUCAAUGCGGGGCUGAAUGUGUAGUAAGAAAAAAUAAAAAUAACGGCGAAUUAUUCUAUGGUUGUCCGUUGUGGAAGAAUAAAACUGACCAAGGCUGUGGAUUUCAAGGACUUGUUGAAGGUGAAAGGUCGACUGCUUUAAAAUCAUUUGAUACCAAAGAAAUACAUCAAUUGUUGGCGGCAAUAAAUUCAAUUGUGCGGUUGUUGUUGGAGAUGAACAUUGUUUUUAAUAAAAUAGCUGAUUUGUUGUCGAAGAUGAAUAUUAUGUUUGCUAAAAUGUUACAAUGUGUAAUUAUUUAUUUUGUUAUGUAUUUGUUAUUUAAAUGUUUGUAUAUGUGAAAGUUCAAUAAUAAAUAAUUUUAUGUA